UAGUCCUUGAAUAUAAUAUAUCACUAUGGAU
rnacentral:piRNA from 1 species